rnacentral:rRNA from 1 species
UGGGGAAUUUUGGACAAUGGGCGAAAGCCUGAUCCAGCAAAUGCCCGCAGUCGUGGUGAAUGAAAGGCCAAGCUUUCGGGUUGUAAAGCACUUUUGUCCGGAAAGAAAUCCUUGGCUCUAAUACAGUCGGGGGAUGACGGUACCGGAAGAAUAAGCACCGGCUAACUACGUGCCAGCAGCCGCGGUAAUACGUAGGGUGCAAGCGUUAAUCGGAAUUACUGGGCGUAAAGCGUGCGCAGGCGGUUUGCUAAGACCGAUGUGAAAUCCCCGGGCUCAACCUGGGAACUGCAUUGGUGACUGGCAGGCUAGAGUAUGGCAGAGGGGGGUAGAAUUCCACGUGUAGCAGUGAAAAUGCGUAGAGAUGUGGAGGAAUACCGAUGGCGAAGGCAGCCCCCUGGGCCAAUACUGACGCUCAUGCACGAAAAGCGUGGGGAGCAAACAGGAUUAGAUACCCUGGUAGUCCACGCCCUAAAACGAUGUCAACUAGUUGUUGGGGAUUCAUUUCCUUAGUAACGUAGCUAACGCGUGAAGUUGACCGCCUGGGGAGUACGGUCGCAAGAUUAAAACUUAAAUGAAUUGACGGGGUCAUAGCUGUUUCCU